rnacentral:rRNA from 1 species
AGAAUCAACGCUGGCGGCGUGCCUAACACAUGCAAGUCGAACGAGAAAGUGGAGCAAUCCAUGAGUAAAGUGGCGCACGGGUGAGUAACACGUGACUAACCUACCCUCGAGUGGGGAAUAACUUCGGGAAACCGAGGCUAAUACCGCAUAAAACCUAAGGGUCAAAGGAGCAAUCCGUUUGAGGAGGGGGUCGCGGCAGAUUAGUUAGUUGGCGGGGUAAUGGCCCACCAAGACGAUGAUCUGUAUCCGGCCUGAGAGGGCGCACGGACACACUGGAACUGAAACACGGUCCAGACUCCUACGGGAGGCAGCAGUGGGGAAUUUGCGCAAUGGGGGAAACCCUGACGCAGCAACGCCGCGUGGAGGAUGAAAUCCCUUGGGAUGUAAACUCCUUUCGACCGGGAAGAUAAUGACGGUACCGGAAGAAGAAGCCCCGGCUAACUUCGUGCCAGCAGCCGC